rnacentral:rRNA from 1 species
UACGUAGGGGGCUAGCGUUGUCCGGAAUCAUUGGGCGUAAAGCGCGUGUAGGCGGCCCGGUAAGUCCGCUGUGAAAGUCGGGGGCUCAACCCUCGAAUGCCGGUGGAUACUGUCGGGCUAGAGUGCGGAAGAGGCGAGUGGAAUUCCUGGUGUAGCGGUGAAAUGCGCAGAUAUCAGGAGGAACACCUAUUGCGAAGGCAGCUCGCUGGGACGUAACUGACGCUGAGACGCGAAAGCGUGGGGAGCGAACAGG